UUGGUAAGGCCCGGGCCAGAGCUGCGGAUACGGGACCUGCCAGGGUCCUGGCGGGCCGGCAGCAGCACGGGCCCGAAGCACACUGCCAGGAUGAUGCUCCAACUAACUGAGCCACAACCACACCGGCCAGUGCUAGAGCCUGUGUUUUUGAUAUAAUCUGGCUGUGCAACUUGGCAUCUACCUUCUGAUGCCACAAACUCAUGGCUAUCACCAGCCCAGACAUGGGUGAACUGUUCUAUUCAGCCCACUCCCUGUCCCACUCUUACCCGGGGCCCAACUCACCCUCUCCACAUCCGGCAGGCAACUGAGGAGCCCACGGGUACCCUCAGUGCUGGGGGGAUCCCUGCUCGGGGGCCCUCGGGCCAUGGCCUCCAGCACCACUUGAUAGAGGGGCUGAGUGAUGAGUGGGGUGGGCAACUCCCGAAGAUAAUCCUUGAGGAUGCCUGUGGACACAGGGCCCAUUCUGGUCAGGGCAACCCUGACUUCUGAGGCUGGAGGGGUUGGCUGGGGAUGGGGAUGGGGAAAGAGGAGGACAGGUGCAGGAAGGUGAAAACAAGACCCGACAGAAGAGGUGAGGUCCCAGAGGGGCAACAGGGACUGCCAUGAAGUGAGGGUUGAAUGAAGAGCAGGCAGGGAUGGGGUGCUGGUGGGGAAGAGGCGUGCUGACCAGUGAUGACAUUGAUAUCGGGGUACAGGUCCUCGGAGAGGCAGACAGCUGCACUGUCCCGCUCAAAGGCGUCCCGAAGCUCUUUCUUCACAGCUGCCGAGCCGCACAGACGGUAGAGCCCCACUACCUAGGUGUGGGAGCAGAGGGGAAUGGCUUCUCACUGGGGCCACAGACUGAUCAGGGCCCAGUGGGGAGGGGACUGGAGUUCUGGCUCAGGGUGGCAGUUGGCUACGAGUUCGGGGGCUAGCUGUAGCCUCAAUGGCUGCCUUCCUGCUCCUCUGACACUUGUCAUAGGGUCCCCACCUGGCUGUCUGGACAACCUGGACCUGUAAACCCUCUGCUUGGAUCACUUGUCUUGAUACCCACAUCCUUUGAUUUAGGAACUUCUGACUCCUCCUCAGCUCACUUGUUACCUCCUUUAGGAUGCCUUCCCUGACUACCCCAACCAGCAGGUGAAGUCCUACUUUAAGUUCUCCCAGCUUCUUCACUCUUGUCCCAGCCAUAAUCUUACAUUUGUGAGUUAU